UACGUGGGGUGCAAGCGUUAUCCGGAUUUACUGGGCGUAAAGCGUACCGUCGUCGUCUUGACAAGUCUUCCGUUUAAACCUGGGGCUCAACUUCAGAUCAGCGGGGGAAACUGUCAGGAUUGAGUCUGUUCGGGGGAACUAGAAUUCUCGGUGGAGGGGUGAAAUCCGUAGAUAUCGAGAGGAAUACCAGUCGCGAAGGCGGGUUCCUAGAACAUGACUGACGCUCAGGGACGGAAGUCUGGGUAGCAAAAGGG
rnacentral:rRNA from 1 species